rnacentral:lncRNA from 1 species
GAUGCAUGCACGAGUCUGUAUUGUUAUGUUUGUGGGUGGCAGGCUUCAUAUAGCUGAGGCUGGUCGAGAAUUUGCAGUAUGGCCUUGAACUCCUGAUCCUCUUACCCGUAUCUCAUCAGUCCUAGGAUUUACAGGCUUUUGGUAACCAUACCUAGUUCAGGGAAGAGGGAGAGAUGCUUGUUUGUCCUUGGGAAUGAGCAGUUUGUACAGGAAAACAAGUUUGGGACAACUUAGGAUAGAAUGUAGUCAAGAAUGUUAUAACACCAAUCAAUCAAUCAAUAUACGUUAUGGCACUGGGCAUUGUGGCACUCAAUUGCAACCACAGGACUCAAGAGGCUGAGGUGGAGGAUAGUGAGCUUGAGGCCAUCCUGGGCAGUUUAAGAAGACACUAUUUCCCCAGCUCCGAAAAAAAAAAAAAAGAAGAAGAAGACACUAUCUCAAAGAAACCAACACCAAACACUCCUUACAGCAUACCUCACAUUGAAACACAGGCUAGCUGGCUGGAGAGACAGUUGAGUCAGGAAAGUGCUUAUUACAGAAGCCUGAGAACCUAUGUUUGGAUUCCCCAGUGCCUGUGUGAAAAGUUGAAGUUGACAGCAGAUACCUGUAAACCCCUGUGCUAGGGAAGUCAAAACAGGAGAAUUCUUGAGUUCGCUGGCCUGGUGAGUAAGCUCCAAAUUCAGUAAGAGACUCUGUCUCAAAAAACAAAGAAAUAAAAAAGGUAAAAAGUGCCAGGUAUAGAGGCACAUGACUUUAAAUCAACACUCUGAAGGCAAGUGGAUCUCUGUGAGUUCAAGGCCAACCUGGUCUACAUAGUGAGUUCCAGGACAACUAGGGCUACAUAGUGAGAAUCUGUCUCGAAAAACAAA